UAUGCCUAAAAUAAAUAAGUAGUUUUAUGGAAUGAUUUGUGACAUAGAAUGAACUUUGCCCACAAAUUCCAGUGAAUAGAAUGAAGCAAUACAACUCUCUUAAUCCUGGUUUCAUUAACAGUGUCACUUCCAUGGGCCCUGGGAUUGUGCCAGAGUGAGUACAAAAGAUGCUCUUCCAUGGAGCCAACUGAAAGAUACCUUGUGCCACUUUGCAACUGAGUUUUGAAGAUGUCAAGGGCCAGGACACUCCUGUGAACUUCACUGACAGCUGGAUGGACUUGGCAGAGAGAGCCCAUCUGACAGGUAGGCACUCAGAAAUGGAGUUUCCAUUGUGUCCUGAUAGACUCUAAACCACAGGCUGUUCCCCCAUUAGUUUAAUGAUCAAGAGCUGGACAUUUGGAUCUGGGCUCACCCACUUAACACUCUGGGCAUUUACCUGCCCAGCUAUUGAGUUGAUUGUUCAGCAAGUCACAGCCCUAGGGAAGGUCAGUUUGCCAGGCAGGAUUGUCAAUCACAAGUACCUCUCUCCCACAUUCCCUGUCCUCCUCCAUGCUGGCAGCUCAGGCUAGGGCCUAACACUAAUGAGAAGUCUCCACAUUCACAGUGUGUCAGGAGAACCAGAUUUGUGGCAAAGAAACACAGGGAGGAACAUAGGUUAGACUGUCUCUUGUGGACAGGGGAACAGUGACUCUGUACUUCCCUCUUCAGCAAAGAACAAGGAUUGUAUCCUUCUCCUCAAUGUCCUCACCUAAAGUCCUUCCAACCCAGCUGAGCCAAACCAGUUUAAAGAAGUAAAAUAUUCUAUGGCUUGCAAAAGGGAAGGGAAGAGGAAAGUGUAAUUCUUCAACCUGCUGUUUCGUAAGGAAGCAACAUGUGGCCAUAAUUCAAUCUAGUUCUCCCUCAUUAGCUCUACAAAGCAUUUGAACUUUCAUUCAGAAAUUGGAUUUGGUAGAUCUGGUGGGUUCUACUGUGGACCAGAAGAGAAACUCAUUAGAAAAAGUGCAAGUCUGAGUCCUUUUUACCUCAGAACAAGCUUUUGGAUUUUGCUAAUCAGAUACAUUUGUCAUUUACAUCGAUGAUAAACAUUUAACAAGUAAUCUGCUCUGGGAGGAAUGUGAUUUACUGCUGCAGUCUGGGUUUGUGCUAUUAAUAACAAUAAUAAUGUUUGGCAUCAGUAUAGCCAGUUCAAGCAAAGGAUAGAAUAGAUUUCCCAAGCUCCAGCUGGCUCAGUGUGGUUUUCCAUGUCCUGAUGGGAAGAAUUUGCCAGAAACAGGCUUGUUGGGAUCAAAAGGAUGUGGAAAAGCAAGAGCAGAGUCUUAUGCAAGUUUGUCAUUUUGUUUAAGAAUGAAUGGUGGGGCUUGACAUGAUUUCUUCCAUUUAAUUUCUCUCAGAUGGAUUUAAUUUAAGAUGGAGCCUUUCAGAGUAG